rnacentral:lncRNA from 1 species
GAUAAAACCAACAAUAACAAUAUUAUAUAUCAUCCAAAAUAUUCAUACAUACAUUAUCAUCCAAAUAAACAAAAAUCUAUUAUACUAUAUGUUCUAGCAUCAAGUAACUAGUUGGUCAACCUGCCAUGAUGAAUUUGGAAAGACAAUUCCACGGCAUCCUACUGAGAGCUCAUGUAUCUACUCAUAAUGUUGGCGCUCUCAUCUCUCUGACUGUAGUUGCAUUCAUCAACUAUGUCUUCCAAUGACAUCCUACUAUUUUCAUCCUUGUACUCAUUAGCUUCUAACAGCUUCCCAAGAAAAUCAUUUCUUGAGAUUCCUUCAUUUUCUCGUUUCUUUAUCAUCUCUAUGAUGCAGUCGCGAAUCCCUUUCUCUAGUUUCUCUGAUUGAACUUCAUCUUUGUAUGUCAAGAAAUAAAAAACUGUUUUGUAAGAAAUUAAUAAUUAAUUCUAGUUAGAUAUAGAAAUUGGGCAUGAGCAGAUCAAUGCACACCGUCGUAUCUAUAUACCAGUUCCUUGUUUAUCUCAGGCUGGCAAUUUCAGCUUUGAAUUAUUUUUCCAACUGCAAUAGGAGAGUAAAUCUUAGAUAUGAGUUUAUAUACACAACAAAAACAAUUCACUCUCUUCAUCAACAGCAAAAACAAUUUCAAACUGUCUGAUUAAAUAAAAGCGGUCCGGAGAAAAUAGCCAUUAAAUCUCAAAGAAA